rnacentral:rRNA from 1 species
AGGGAAUCUUCCACAAUGGACGCAAGUCUGAUGGAGCAACGCCGCGUGAGUGAAGAAGGCUUUCGGGUCGUAAAACUCUGUUGUUGGAGAAGAAUGGUCGGCAGAGUAACUGUUGUCGGCGUGACGGUAUCCAACCAGAAAGCCACGGCUAACUACGUGCCAGCAGCCGCGGUAAUACGUAGGUGGCAAGCGUUAUCCGGAUUUAUUGGGCGUAAAGCGUGCGCAGGCGGUUUUUUAAGUCUGAUGUGAAAGCCCUCGGCUUAACCGAGGAAGCGCAUCGGAAACUGGGAAACUUGAGUGCAGAAGAGGACAGUGGAACUCCAUGUGUAGCGGUGAAAUGCGUAGAUAUAUGGAAGAACACCAGUGGCGAAGGCGGCUGUCUGGUCUGUAACUGACGCUGAGGCUCGAAAGCAUGGGUAGCGAACAGGAUUAGAUACCCUGGUAGUCCAUGCCGUAAACGAUGAAUGCUAGGUGUUGGAGGGUUUCCGCCCUUCAGUGCCGCAGCUAACGCAUUAAGCAUUCCGCCUGGGGAGUACGACCGCAAGGUUGAAACUCAAAGGAAUUGACGGGGGCCCGCACAAGCGGUGGAGCAUGUGGUUUAAUUCGAAGCAACGCGAAGAACCUUACCAGGUCUUGACAUCUUUUGAUCACCUGAGAGAUCAGGUUUCCCCUUCGGGGGCAAAAUGACAGGUGGUGCAUGGUUGUCGUCAGCUCGCGUCGUGAGAUGUUGGGUUAAGUC